GUGAGGGAAAGGCGAAAAGCACCCCGGGAGGGGAGUGAAAUAGUACCUGAAACCGUGCGCCCACGAGCAGUCGGAGCAACUUUACGUUGUGACGGCGUGCCUUUUGUAGAAUGAGCCAGCGAGUCGCUGGCGCGGGGCGAGGUUAACCGAAAGGGAGCCGGAGCGAAAGCGAGCCUUAACAGGGCGACUUGAGUCCCGCGCCGCGGACGCGAAGCCGGGUGAGCUAUCCGUGGGCAGGCUGAAGCGGGGGUAAGACCCCGUGGAGGGCCGAACGCACGUCGGUUGAAAACGGCGGCGAUGACCUGCGGAUAGGGGUGAAAGGCCAAUCAAACCCGGAGAUAUCUCGUUCUCCCCGAAAUAGCUUUAGGGCUAGCGUCGCGCGUUCACCGCCGGAGGUAGAGCACCGGAUGGACGAGGGGGCUUCGCCGCCUACCGAAUCCAACCGAACUCCGAAUGCCGGCGGCCCAGAGCGCGGCAGUCAGAGCAUGUGGGCUAAGCUGUGUGCUCGAGAGGGAAACAGCCCAGACCGCCCGCCAAGGCCCCCAAGUCAUCGCUGAGUGGCAAAGGAUGUGCGUCCGCCCAGACAACCAGGAUGUUGGCUUAGAAGCAGCCACUCAUUAAAAGAGUGCGUAAUAGCUCACUGGUCGAGUGACUCUGCGCCGAAAAUUUAACGGGGCUAAACUAUACACCGAAGCUUGGGAUACAUCUAAUGUAUGGUAGGAGAGCGUUCUGUAUGGGGAGAAGUCGUAGCGAAAGCGGCGGUGGACUAUACAGAAGUGAGAAUGCCGGAAUAAGUAGCGAGAAUUAAGUGAGAAUCUUAAUGGCCGAAAGUCUAAGGUUUUUGGAGGAAGGUUCGUCCGCUCCAAGUAAGUCGGGAGCUAAGGUCAGGCCGAAAGGCGUAGCCGAUGCACAUACGGUUGAUAUUCCGUAACCAUCUGUAAUUUAAGCAAAGGGACACUUCAAAAGGGUGUGACCCGGGCGUUGGUUGACCCGGGCGUAAGGGACCGAAAUUAGAGUAGGGAAGCACACUUAGCUGAAGGCGAGAAAAGCUUUGCGUAUAGAAACAGAUGCCCGUACCGCAAACCGACACAGGUGGACAGGAAGAGAAUUCUAAGGCCAGCGGGAGAAGGGUAGUUAAGGAACUCGGCAAAUUGACUCCGUAACUUCGGAAUAAGGAGUGCUCGAAAGAGCCGCAGAGAAUAGGCCCAGGCGACUGUUUAGCAAAAACACAGGUCUCUGCCAAAUCGAAAGAUGAAGUAUAGGGGCUGACACCUGCCCGGUGCCGGAAGGUUAAGAGGAGGAGUGAGAGCUCCGAAUUGAAGCCCCGGUAAACGGCGGCCGUAACUAUAACGGUCCUAAGGUAGCGAAAUUCCUUGUCGGGUAAGUUCCGACCCGCACGAAUGGUGUAACGAUCUGGGCACUGUCUCAACUACCCACCCGGCGAAAUUGUAGUACCGGUGAAGAUGCCGGUUACCUGCGGCAAGACGGAAAGACCCCAUGGAGCUUUACUGUAGCCUGAUAUUGGGUUUCGGAAAUCUAUGUACAGGAUAGGCGGGAGACUGGGAAACAUGAGCGUCAGCUUGUGUGGAGUCGAUGUUGGGAUACCGCCCUUAGGUUUCUGGAAUUCUAACCUGCGGCCGUGAAACCGGUCGGGGGACAUUGUCAGGUGGGCAGUUUGACUGGGGCGGUCGCCUCCGAAAAGGUAACGGAGGCGCUCAAAGGUUAGCUCAGCACGGACGGAAACCGUGCCUCUGAGUGUAAACGCAAAAGCUAGCCUAACUGCGAGGGUGACGGCCCGAGCAGUAACGAAAGUUGGAGUUAGUGAUCCGGCGGUAUGUGAAUGGAAAUGCCGUCGCUCAACGGAUAAAAGCUACCCUGGGGAUAACAGGCUGAUCUCCCCCAAGAGUCCACAUCGACGGGGAGGUUUGGCACCUCGAUGUCGGCUCAUCACAUCCUGGGGCUGUAUUCGGUCCCAAGGGUUCGGCUGUUCGCCGAUUAAAGUGGUACGCGAGCUGGGUUCAGAACGUCGCGAGACAGUUCGGUCCCUAUCUGUCGUGGGCGCAGGAUAUUUGAGGAGCUCUGUCCUUAGUACGAGAGGACCGGGAUGGACGUACCUCUGGUGCACCAGUUGUCAUGCCAAUGGCACGGCUGGGCAGCUAUGUACGGAACGGAUAAACGCUGAAAGCAUCUAAGCGUGAAGCCGACUCCAAGAUUAGAUAUCCCAUCGUAUAACGAGUAAGACCCCUUGAAGACUACGAGGUUGAUAGGCUGCGUGUGUAAGUGCCGUGAGGCAUUCAGCUUGGCAGUACUAAUAGGUCGAGGGCUUGACCAC
rnacentral:rRNA from 1 species